GGAGUUCGAUGAAGUACUUUUAAAUUCAGUAUUAAGUCUUCCAUCCAAAUUCAAUAAAAUCUUAGAGAGUCCUGUCCGAGCAACAGCAUUUUGUGAAAUAAUUAGUGUGCAUGUUUUCCAAUCAAGGCAAAUAUAAAUGCUCGGACAUGGAACCGUAGAUCACGUUUUGCACCUUAUUCAUCCUACAUCUGACACCAAUUGGAUUCAUUAAGCUCCUUUGGCACUCAUCAUCUAACAUUGAAUCGCCAAAAAAACGUUGGAAGACCUCAAACGCAGUUUCGGCCAUUGGACAAAAUUGUGAUUUUUCAUAGUUUAGGUUCAACGAAUAAAAAGCACAAUAGACAA